AUUAAGGACAAAAUUUACACACGACCAGUUGCCCGUCUCAUUGUCCUUCCAGCCCUCUCAGAAUCAGAUGGAGAAUCCGCUCCCCUGUCAUGACUCACAAAGACAGUAAGCCUUUCUUAGGAACAAAUUGCAUGCAAUUUGGGGCGGCUGUGCGAAAGGCUGCAAAUAAGAGACUGUAACAGUGAUAUAAAGCAGUGCCUUACUCUGAAUCGCGGGGACUUUUAUUAUGACGCAUUGCCGCGCAUUGAUGUGGAGUGCUUCACAGUUCGGCGCACUUCCGAUUUCUCCGUGAAUCAGUCAUUACGUUCACUCAACGAGGAGAGAAACGAGCCGAGCGAAGUCUGGAGACUCACGGCUGUAUAUGAUUGCUGUUUGUUCCUGUUAGUUUAUAAAACUGUGUGCGUCCAGAGGAAAAACCACACACACACACACAAACACCACACACGGCUCUACAAGUUCAUACAUGCAUAGAUGUAUGCAAAGUUGGAUCUAUGCCGUCUUAAGGAAGAUUUAAGCACAAGGCAAUACAAUCAUCAUCAUCCAGUAUCCAUGCCCAUUCCAUGUAUGUUGUUAGAAGACGUUAACAUACAAGUUACAACUGGCUCCCCCUCUGCAUAUGACUGUAAUCAAUAAAUCAUUCAAGUAUA